rnacentral:rRNA from 1 species
UUAGCUAUAAUUUUAGAAUGUUUUUACAUAUAGCUUGUGUAGUAAUAAGUGGUAGUCGAUAGCAUGUCUUAACGUUAGUUAAUUACAGAGACAAAAAUGAAAGACCACUCUAGUUAUUUUGUAAAACUAAAUUAAAUUUUUAAUGAUAAUCUAAGAUGGUUAGUUUGACUGGGGCGGUAGUCUCCAAAAAAGUAACGGAGACCUACAAAGGUAGGCUCAAAUUUAGAUAAUAAAUUUUCGAACGCAAUGGUAUAUGCCUGCUUGACUGUGAGACAUACAAGUCGAACAGAGACGAAAGUCGGUCAUAGUGAUCCUAUGAUUUUGAAUGGAAAAGUCAUAGCUUAAGGAAUAAAAGGUACUUUGGGGAUAACAGGCUGAU